UGUUUUCUUCAUCUCUCUACCACAGUCUCCAUUACAUUGGAUAGUUGACCUUAAAUAUUUAAACUCCUCUUCCUUAACCACCUCUACUCAUUGUAACUGCACUGUUCCACUGGGCUCUCUUUCAUUCACACACAUGCACUCAAUUGCUUUUACUGACUU